rnacentral:rRNA from 1 species
GCGGAGGAAAAGAAACCAACUGGGAUUACCUUAGUAACGGCGAGUGAAGCGGUAAAAGCUCAAAUUUGAAAUCUGGUACUUUCAGUGCCCGAGUUGUAAUUUGUAGAAUUUGUCUUUGAUUAGGUCCUUGUCUAUGUUCCUUGGAACAGGACGUCAUAGAGGGUGAGAAUCCCGUUUGGCGAGGAUACCUUUUCUCUGUAAGACUUUUUCGAAGAGUCGAGUUGUUUGGGAAUGCAGCUCAAAGUGGGUGGUAAAUUCCAUCUAAAGCUAAAUAUUGGCGAGAGACCGAUAGCGAACAAGUACAGUGAUGGAAAGAUGAAAAGAACUUUGAAAAGAGAGUGAAAAAGUACGUGAAAUUGUUGAAAGGGAAGGGCAUUUGAUCAGACAUGGUGUUUUUUGCAUGCACUCGCCUCUCGUGGGCUUGGGCCUCUCAAAAAUUUCACUGGGCCAACAUCAAUUCUGGCAGCAGGAUAAAUCAUUAAGAAUGUAGCUACUUCGGUAGUGUUAUAGCUUUUUGGAAUACUGUUAGCCGGGAUUGAGGACUGCGCUUCGGCAAGGAUGUUGGCAUAAUGGUUAAAUGCCGCCCGUCUUGAC